rnacentral:rRNA from 1 species
AAAUUGAAGAGUUUGAUCCUGGCUCAGAUUGAACGCUGGCGGCAGGCCUAACACAUGCAAGUCGAACGGUAACAGGAAGCAGCUUGCUGCUUUGCUGACGAGUGGCGGACGGGUGAGUAAUGUCUGGGAAACUGCCUGAUGGAGGGGGAUAACUACUGGAAACGGUGGCUAAUACCGCAUAACGUCGCAAGACCAAAGAGGGGGACCUUCCCGCCACAAGCCAGCACAUCUCGGCUGAUCCCAUUACCAAGUUGGUGAGGUAACGGCUCACCAAGGCGACGAUCCCUAGCUGGUCUGAGAGGAUGACCAGCCACACUGGUUCUGAGACACGGUCCAGACUCCUACGGGAGGCAGCAGUGGGGAAUAUUGCACAAUUGGGGGAAAAAUGAUGCAGGGAUGGGGCGUGUAUGAAGAAGGCCUUCGGGUUGUAAAGUACUUUCAGCGGGGAGGAAGGUGUUGUGGUUAAUAACCGCAGCAAUUGACGUUACCCGCAGAAGAAGCACCGGCUAACUCCGUGCCAGCAGCCGCGGUAAUACGGAGGGUGCAAGCGUUAAUCGGAAUUACUGGGCGUAAAGCGCACGCAGGCGGUCUGUCAAGUCGGAUGUGAAAUCCCCGGGCUCAACCUGGGAACUGCAUUCGAAACUGGCAGGCUUGAGUCUUGUAGAGGGGGGUAGAAUUCCAGGUGUAGCGGUGAAAUGCGUAGAGAUCUGGAGGAAUACCGGUGGGGCGAAGGCGGCCCCCUGGACAAAGACUGACGCUCAGGUGCGAAAGCGUGGGGAGCAAACAGGAUUAGAUACCCUGGUAGUCCACGCCGUAAACGAUGUCUACUUGGAGGUUGUGCCCUUGAGAGCGUGGCUUCCGGAGCUAACGCGUUAAGUAGACCGCCAUGACAGUACGGCCGCAAGGUUAAAACUCAAAUGAAUUGACGGGGGCCCGCACAAGCGGUGGAGCAUGUGAUCCGAUUCGAUGCAACGCGAAGAACCUUACCUGGUCUUGACAUCCACGGAAGUUUUCAGAGAUGAGAAUGUGCCUUCGGGAACCGUGAGACAGUGCUGCAUGGCUGUCGUCAGCUCGUGUUGUGAAAUGUUGGGUUAAGUUCCGCAACGAGCGCAACCCUUAUCCUUUGUUGCCAGCGGUCCGGCCGGGAACUCAAAGGAGACUGCCAGUGAUAAACUGGAGGAAGGUGGGGAAUCGCAGGUAC